CACCGGCGGCUCGAGUGGUGGCCACUUUUAUUGGGUCUAAAGCGUCCGUAGCCGGCUUGGCAAGUCCCCUGGGAAAUCUGGCAUCUCAAGUGUCAGGCUGCCAGGGGAUACUGGUCGGCUUGGGACCGGGAGAGGUGAGAGGUACCUCGGGGGUAGGGGUGAAAUCCUGUAAUCCUGGGAGGACCACCUGUGGCGAAGGCGUCCAGCUGGAACGAACCUGACGGUGAGGGACGAAAGCCAGGGGCGCGAACCGG
rnacentral:rRNA from 1 species